GACGAACGCUGGCGGCGUGCUUAACACAUGCAAGUCGAACGGAAAGGCCCUGCUUUUGUGGGGUGCUCGAGUGGCGAACGGGUGAGUAACACGUGAGUAACCUGCCCUUGACUUUGGGAUAACUUCAGGAAACUGGGGCUAAUACCGGAUAGGAGCUCCUGCUGCAUGGGGGGGGUUGGAGAGUUUCGGCGGUUGGGGAUGGACUCGCGGCUUAUCAGCUUGUUGGUGGGGUAGUGGCUUACCAAGGCUUUGACGGGUAGCCGGCCUGAGAGGGUGACCGGCCCCAUUGGGCCUGAGAUACGGCCCAGACUCCUACGGGAGGCAGCAGUGGGGAAUAUUGCACAAUGGGCGGAAGCCUGAUGCAGCAACGCCGCGUGCGGGAUGACGGCCUUCGGGUUGUAAACCGCUUUCGCCUGUGACGAAGCGUGAGUGACGGUAAUGGGUAAAGAAGCACCGGCUAACUACGUG
rnacentral:rRNA from 1 species